UGAUCCUGGCUCAAAGCGAACGCUGGCGGCAUGCUUAACACAUGCAAGUCGCACGAAGGUUUCGGCCUUAGUGGCGGACGGGUGAGUAACGCGUAGGAAUCUAUCCACGGGUGGGGGAUAACUUCGGGAAACUGAAGCUAAUACCGCAUGAUACCUAAGGGUCAAAGGCGCAAGUCGCCUGUGGAGGAGCCUGCGUUUGAUUAGCUUGUUGGUGGGGUAAUGGCCUACCAGGGCGAUGAUCGAUAGCUGGUUUGAGAGGAUGAUCAGCCACACUGGGACUGAGACACGGCCCAGACUCCUGCGGGAGGCAGCAGUGGGGAAUAUUGGACAAUGGGGGCAACCCUGAUCCAGCAAUGCCGCGUGUGUGAAGAAGGUUUUCGGAUUGUAAAGCACUUUCGGCGGGGACGAUGAUGACGGUACCCGCAGAAGAAGCCCCGGCUAACUUCGUGCCAGCAGCCGCGGUAAUACGAAGGGGGCUAGCGUUGCUCGGAAUGACUGGGCGUAAAGGGCGUGUAGGCGGUUUGUACAGUCAGAUGUGAAAUCCCCGGGCUUAACCUGGGAGCUGCAUUUGAUACGUGCAAACUAGAGUGUGAGAGAGGGUUGUGGAAUUCCCAGUGUAGAGGUGAAAUUCGUAGAUAUUGGGAAGAACACCGGUGGCGAAGGCGGCAACCUGGCUCAUAACUGACGCUGAGGCGCGAAAGCGUGNGGAGCAAACAGGAUUAGAUACCCUGGUAGUCCACGCUGUAAACGAUGUGU
rnacentral:rRNA from 1 species